AACUCCUCGCAGCUUUACGCUUACCAGUGAAGAUUCGUCUGAGGUAGCGUUUUUGCUAGUUGAAAACUACAACUAUGACCGCUCUUGUUGGUCUUCGGAUCGGCAAGGAAUUUUUGGCAACUACGCGUUUCUUUUCAUUGUUUGCUGCGGCGUUGCUGCACAGGCGAGGAAG
rnacentral:snRNA from 12 species